rfam:Arabidopsis thaliana chromosome 3, complete sequence.
AGAUGCGAUCAUACCAGCACUAAUGCAUCAGAUCCCAUCGGAACUUCGUAGUUAAGCGUGCUUGGGCGAGAGUAGUACUAGGAUGGGUGACCUCCAGGAAAGUCCUCGUGUUUAAUCAC